CUGGUGUAUAUCUGUACUAACCAGAGUCGAUAUUACAGACAUAAUAUUGCUGACAGUAAAGAUGAUGAAGAGUUACGUUCAACUGCUAUUGGUGGUAAUGAUACUAUCAUGCAUUGCAGAAGGAUUUAUUGAUAUCAUAAUUAAGCCCAAAAAUAAGGCUCUCAAACAAGUAAGCAGUAGUCAAGACAAGACAAAUUUAGCGAGGAGCCAUUUGACUGAUCGGACACUGCGUGAUGAUGAUGAUGAUGAUGAUGAAGAGUAUGGGAGAUCUGCUAAUGAUGAGCUUGAACCUUAAAAUCAUUUUGCCAAGCCAUAUUAAAUAGAAUAAAAUAGCGUUAAACCAAAUUUCA